rnacentral:sRNA from 1 species
GGGCAGUCAUCGCCGAGUCCCCGUGAGGCGCGAGCCAGGGGAGCCGGGGACCCACAGUCCCUGGGGUGAAUCGGGCGCCCCGCACAGCCGUGGCCCCGUAGGAGACCUUCCUGCUCCGAACCCGUCAGCUAACCCGGUAGGCGAGAGGGAAGGAAAGG